rnacentral:rRNA from 1 species
AUUGAACGCUGGCGGCAGGCCUAACACAUGCAAGUCGAGCGGAUGAAGGGAGCUUGCUCCUGGAUUCAGCGGCGGACGGGUGAGUAAUGCCUAGGAAUCUGCCUGGUAGUGGGGGAUAACGUCCGGAAACGGGCGCUAAUACCGCAUACGUCCUGAGGGAGAAAGUGGGGGAUCUUCGGACCUCACGCUAUCAGAUGAGCCUAGGUCGGAUUAGCUAGUUGGUGGGGUAAAGGCCUACCAAGGCGACGAUCCGUAACUGGUCUGAGAGGAUGAUCAGUCACACUGGAACUGAGACACGGUCCAGACUCCUACGGGAGGCAGCAGUGGGGAAUAUUGGACAAUGAGCGAAAGCCUGAUCCAGCCAUGCCGCGUGUGUGAAGAAGGUCUUCGGAUUGUAAAGCACUUUAAGUUGGGAGGAAGGGCAGUAAGUUAAUACCGUGCUGUUUUGACGUUACCAACAGAAUAAGCACCGGCUAACUUCGUG